rnacentral:rRNA from 1 species
CGAACGACUCCUGACAACGGAUAUCUCGGCUCUUGCAACGAUGAAGAACGUAGCGAAAUGCGAUACUUGGUGUGAAUUGCAGAAUCCCGUGAACCAUCGAGUUUUUGAACGCAAGUUGCGCCCGAAGCUUGUCUGCUGAGGGCACGUCUGCCUGGGUGUCACCCAU